rnacentral:rRNA from 1 species
CCGGUACUGCUAGUCCGCAAGGCCGACGGGUCCUGGCGCUUCUGCAUCGACUACCGCGCCCUGAACGCCAUUACCGUCAAGAAUGCGUUUCCGAUCCCGGUGGUGGACGAACUCCUCGACGAGCUCCGGCACGCUCGUUUCUUCACCAAGCUCGACUUGCGCUCCGGCUACCACCAGGUGCGGAUGCGUGCGGAGGACAUCCCGAAGACCGCCUUCCGUACUCACGACGGCCUCUACGAGUUCCUGGUGAUGCCGUUCGGCCUCUGCAACGCGCCGGCGACGUUCCAGGCCCUCAUGAACGAUCUGCUACGGCCGUUCCUGCGCCGCUUUGUUCUCGUCUUCUUUGACGACAUCCUCAUUUUCAGCGAGACGUGGGCUGACCAUCUCCGACAUGUGCGC